CAGCCGCCACGGGAAUACGAAGGGUGCAAGCGUUAAUCGGAAUUACUGGGCGUAAAGCGUGCGUAGGCGGUUUGUUAAGUCUGUUGUGAAAUCCCCGGGCUCAACCUGGGAAUGGCAAUGGAUACUGGCAAGCUAGAGUGUGUCAGAGGAUGGUGGAAUUCCCGGUGUAGCGGUGAAAUGCGUAGAGAUCGGGAGGAACAUCAGUGGCGAAGGCGGCCAUCUGGGACAACACUGACGCUGAGGCACGAAAGCGUGGGGAGCAAACAGGAUUAGAGACCCCGGUAGUCCCUGUCUCUUAUAA
rnacentral:rRNA from 1 species